UACGAAGGGGGCUAGCGUUGCUCGGAAUUACUGGGCGUAAAGCGCACGCAGGUGGCUGAGAAAGUCGAUUGUGAAAGCCCUGGGCUUAACCUGGGAAUUGCAGUCGAAACUACUCGGCUAGAGUAUGGGAGAGGGUAGUGGAAUUCCCGGUGUAGCGGUGAAAUGCGUAGAUAUCGGGAGGAACAUCAGUGGCGAAGGCGGCUACCUGGCCCAAUACUGACACUCAGGUGCGACAG
rnacentral:rRNA from 1 species